rnacentral:rRNA from 1 species
GAAUGCUGACAUAAGUAACGAUAAAGCGGGUGAAAAGCCCGCUCGCCGGAAGACCAAGGGUUCCUGUCCAACGUUAAUCGGGGCAGGGUGAGUCGACCCCUAAGGCGAGGCCGAAAGGCGUAGUCGAUGGGAAACGGGUUAAUAUUCCCGUACUUGGUGUUACUGCGAAGGGGGGACGGAGAAGGCUAUGUUGGCCGGGCGACGGUUGUCCCGGUUUAAGCGUGUAGGUGUGUGUUCCAGGUAAAUCCGGUUCACUUUAACACUGAGGCGUGAUGACGAGGCACUACGGUGCUGAAGCAACAAAUGCCCUGCUUCCAGGAAAAGCCUCUAAGCAUCAGGUAACAUCAAAUCGUACCCCAAACCGACACAGGUGGUCAGGUAGAGAAUACCAAGGCGCUUGAGAGAACUCGGGUGAAGGAACUAGGCAAAAUGGUGCCGUAACUUCGGGAGAAGGCACGCUGACAUGUAGGUGAAGUGAUUUACUCAUGGAGCUGAAGUCAGUCGAAGAUACCAGCUGGCUGCAACUGUUUAUUAAAAACACAGCACUGUGCAAACACGAAAGUGGACGUAUACGGUGUGACGCCUGCCCGGUGCCGGAAGGUUAAUUGAUGGGGUCAGCGCAAGCGAAGCUCCUGAUCGAAGCCCCGGUAAACGGCGGCCGUAACUAUAACGGUCCUAAGGUAGCGAAAUUCCUUGUCGGGUAAGUUCCGACCUGCACGAAUGGCGUAAUGAUGGCCAGGCUGUCUCCACCCGAGACUCAGUGAAAUUGAACUCGCUGUGAAGAUGCAGUGUACCCGCGGCAAGACGGAAAGACCCCGUGAACCUUUACUAUAGCUUGACACUGAACAUUGAGCCUUGAUGUGUAGGAUAGGUGGGAGGCUUUGAAGUGUGGACGCCAGUCUGCAUGGAGCCGACCUUGAAAUACCACCCUUUAAUGUUUGAUGUUCUAACGUGGACCCGUAAUCCGGGUUGCGGACAGUGUCUGGUGGGUAGUUUGACUGGGGCGGUCUCCUCCUAAAGAGUAACGGAGGAGCACGAAGGUUGGCUAAUCCUGGUCGGACAUCAGGAGGUUAGUGCAAUGGCAUAAGCCAGCUUGACUGCGAGCGUGACGGCGCGAGCAGGUGCGAAAGCAGGUCAUAGUGAUCCGGUGGUUCUGAAUGGAAGGGCCAUCGCUCAACGGAUAAAAGGUACUCCGGGGAUAACAGGCUGAUACCGCCCAAGAGUUCAUAUCGACGGCGGUGUUUGGCACCUCGAUGUCGGCUCAUCACAUCCUGGGGCUGAAGUAGGUCCCAAGGGUAUGGCUGUUCGCCAUUUAAAGUGGUACGCGAGCUGGGUUUAGAACGUCGUGAGACAGUUCGGUCCCUAUCUGCCGUGGGCGCUGGAGAACUGAGGGGGGCUGCUCCUAGUACGAGAGGACCGGAGUGGACGCAUCACUGGUGUUCGGGUUGUCAUGCCAAUGGCACUGCCCGGUAGCUAAAUGCGGAAGAGAUAAGUGCUGAAAGCAUCUAAGCACGAAACUUGCCCCGAGA